UGGGGAAUUUUGCACAAUGGGGGAAACCCUGAUGCAGCGACGCCGCGUGUACGAUGAAGAUCUUCGGAUUGUAAAGUACUGUCCUUGGUGAAGAUAAUGACUGUAACCAAGAAGCAAGCCCUGGCUAAAUACGUGCCAGCAGCCGCGGUAAUACGUAUGGGGCAAGCGUUGUCCGGAAUUAUUGGGCGUAAAGGGUACGUAGGCGGUUAUUUAAGUCUAAAUUAAAAGGCAUUGGCCCAACCAAUGUAAGGUUUAGAUACUGGAUAACUUGAGUAGAUGAGGGGAAAGUGGAAUUCCAUGUGUAGCGGUGAAAUGCGUAGAUAUAUGGAGGAACACCAAUGGCGAAGGCAACUUUCUGGAAUCAAACUGACGCUGAGGUACGAAGGCGUGGGGAGCAAACAGG
rnacentral:rRNA from 1 species